GACGUAGGGCGCGAGCGUUGUCCGGAUUUAUUGGGCGUAAAGAGCUCGUAGGCGGCUUGUCGCGUCGACUGUGAAAACCCGUGGCUCAACCAUGUGGUCUGCAGUCGAUACGGGCAGGCUAGAAUUCGGUAGGGGAGACUGGAAUUCCUGGUGUAGCGGUGAAAUGCGCAGAUAUCAGGAGGAACACCGGUGGCGAAGGCGGGUCUCUGGGCCGAUAUUGACGCUGAGGAGCGAAAGCGUGGGUAGCAAACAGG
rnacentral:rRNA from 1 species